rnacentral:rRNA from 1 species
AGAGUUUGAUCCUGGCUCAGGAUGAACGCUAGCGACAGGCUUAACACAUGCAAGUCGAGGGGCAGCACAGGUAGCAAUACCGGGUGGCGACCGGCGCACGGGUGAGUAACGCGUAUGCAACUUGCCUAUCAGAGGGGGAUAACCCGGCGAAAGUCGGACUAAUACCGCAUGAAGCAGGGAUCCCGCAUGGGAAUAUUUGCUAAAGAUUCAUCGCUGAUAGAUAGGCAUGCGUUCCAUUAGGCAGUUGGCGGGGUAACGGCCCACCAAACCGACGAUGGAUAGGGGUUCUGAGAGGAAGGUCCCCCACAUUGGUACUGAGACACGGACCAAACUCCUACGGGAGGCAGCAGUGAGGAAUAUUGGUCAAUGGCCGAGAGGCUGAACCAGCCAAGUCGCGUGAGGGAUGAAGGUUCUAUGGAUCGUAAACCUCUUUUAUAAGGGAAUAAAGUGCGGGACGUGUCCCGUUUUGUAUGUACCUUAUGAAUAAGGAUCGGCUAACUCCGUGCCAGCAGCCGCGGUAAUACGGAGGAUCCGAGCGUUAUCCGGAUUUAUUGGGUUUAAAGGGUGCGUAGGCGGCCUUUUAAGUCAGCGGUGAAAGUCUGUGGCUCAACCAUAGAAUUGCCGUUGAAACUGGGGGGCUUGAGUAUGUUUGAGGCAGGCGGAAUGCGGGGGGUAGCGGGGAAAUGCAUAGAUAUCACGCAGAACCCCGAUUGCGAAGGCAGCCUGCCAAGCCAUUACUGACGCUGAUGCACGAAAGCGUGGGGAUCAAACAGGAUUAGAUACCCUGGUAGUCCACGCAGUAAACGAUGAUCACUAGCUGUUUGCGAUACACUGUAAGCGGCACAGCGAAAGCGUUAAGUGAUCCACCUGGGGAGUACGCCGGCAACGGUGAAACUCAAAGGAAUUGACGGGGGCCCGCACAAGCGGAGGAACAUGUGGUUUAAUUCGAUGAUACGCGAGGAACCUUACCCGGGUUUGAACGCAUUCGGACCGAGGUGGAAACACCUUUUCUAGCAAUAGCCGUUUGCGAGGUGCUGCAUGGUUGUCGUCAGCUCGUGCCGUGAGGUGUCGGCUUAAGUGCCAUAACGAGCGCAACCCUUGCCACUAGUUACUAACAGGUAAAGCUGAGGACUCUGGUGGGACUGCCAGCGUAAGCUGCGAGGAAGGCGGGGAUGACGUCAAAUCAGCACGGCCCUUACAUCCGGGGCGACACACGUGUUACAAUGGCGUGGACAAAGGGAGGCCACCUGGCGACAGGGAGCGAAUCCCCAAACCACGUCUCAGUUCGGAUCGGAGUCUGCAACCCGACUCCGUGAAGCUGGAUUCGCUAGUAAUCGCGCAUCAGCCAUGGCGCGGUGAAUACGUUCCCGGGCCUUGUACACACCGCCCGUCAAGCCAUGGGAGCCGGGGGUACCUGAAGUCCGUAACCGAAAGGAUCGGCCUAGGGUAAAACUGGUGACUGGGGCUAAGUCGUAACAAGGUAGCCGUACCGGAAGGUGCGGCUG